rnacentral:lncRNA from 1 species
UUUUGUCUCACUGGCGUUCCAGGUGCCACUGGGGUUUGAAAAAAUAUUCCUGCAGCUAGCUUGGUAUCUGCCCAAAAGGUAUUCCAGUUUUGUGCUUGAAACCAGGUCCCUGGUAGCAUAGGCACCAUAGGGACUCUCCUGGUCUGCAGGUUGCGAAGACCAUGUGAAAAGCAUAGUAUCUUGGCCUGAGUGUCCUCAGGGCACAGUCCCUCAUGGCUUCCCUUGGCUAGGGGAGGGAGUUCCCCAUCCCUUUCCCUUCCCAGGUGAGGCAACGCCCCACCUUGCUUCAGUUUGCCCACCGUGGGCUGCACCCACUGUCUAACCAGUCCCAAUGAGAUGAGCUGGGUACCUCAGUUGGAAAUGCAGAAAUCACCUGCCUUCUGUGUUGAUCUCGCUUAGAGCUGCAGACCGGAGCUGUUCUUAUUUGGCCAUCUUGCCAGCCACCGUCUAAUGGCUUUUCAGAGUACGUGCUUCAGUUAUCUCCACAUGUAUAUAAAAGUUUAUUCAUUACCUCAUAGACACACUGAACUUGACUGCUGAAACUGGUUAGAAGAAACCACAAUGUUUAUAGUACAUACAGUAAAUACAAGGCUAACCACAGCAUGAUGAUGCAAGAAAGGAUUUACCAAAGCAGAGAAGGGGAAAAUGAGGCUUUUUUUAUUCCAGUGGACACAGGGAAAAAAUAAAAUUAAAACUAAUUGACAAGUUAUGCCCUAGGCAAGAGCUGAACUGUAGAUGCAUACAUCUAGCAGCAACAAUUGUGCACAAAGCAAAUAGGUUUCUCCAUGAAUUGUCUUUGGCAAAUUCUUAGAAAUAUUUAAAACAUUUGUUACAGUCUUCGUUUUAUAAAAAUGUCAUUUUUAAAAGGGGUAAGAGAAUGUUAAAUACUUCAUACUAGACAGACUUUGUUAUUAAGAACUUUUACUGUAUUAACUUUUUCUAGUUCAUAUCUUAUUAAAUAUUAACAAAAGUGCAUUCAUAUACAUUGCCUCAGGCUGAGGAAGAAUAAAGAUUAUUGGCCACAUACAAUUGUGCCCCUGAUGGCCUUUUCCAGGUAGCUCACCAGUAAGAAAAUGUGCUUAAUGACUUCUCUCUGAUUGGUUUUAGAGAAUAAGAAACAUGCAGUUGAAAGUCAGAGUACUUUAAAGCAAGAGGCAUCUGUCCAAAGACUGGUUGAUGAAAUCUGGGGAAAGGGAGGGAAAUACAAAGAAUACUGUGGCUGCCCUAUAAGGGAACAGGAAUUCAAGGCAGUAUCCAAAGUUAGAGGUAAAGGAGCGGGCAGAAUGGUGCUCUGGUGCGGUAAGCAAUUCUUAAGAUGGACUUAAGGUAACCACCACUUGGCAUACAUGUCCUUUAUAAUUCCCAUCUGUUUCAGUGUGGGCAUGACUUGUGAAUAUGAAGAAAUUUUAUUCCUGUGAUUAAGUUACUGAUCAUUUUAUUUUGAGUUAAUCAAAGGGGAGAUUAUCCUGAGUGGAUCUUGCCUAAUCAAGUGAGCUCUUAGACAAGUGGCCACAGCAGAUGUUCUCAUGUUGGCCUUGAGGAAGCAAACAGCCAUGUUGUGAGAGGAGGGUACUUUGUGGUAAGGACAUGAGAGUGGCUUUCUAGGACCUGAGAUUGUUCCCUGUCCGACAGCAAGAAAACAGGAUUUCACUCUUAAGUUGCAAGUAAUUGAAUUCUGCCAACAACCAGUGAGCUUGUAGAAGACCUCAAGCCUCAGAUGAGAUUGAUACCAUGACUUCAGCCCUGUGAGAUCCUGAACAGAGGACUCAGUUAAACUGUACCUGGACUCCUGACCCAUAGGACUGUGCGAUAAUAAAUGGGUGUUGUCUUAAGCCACUAAUUACAUGUCAAUUUGUUACAGAGCAAUAGAAAACGACCACAGACUUUGGUACUUGGAGUGGAGUGCCACUGUAACAAAUGACUAAAAUGUGAAAGGGGGCUUUGAAAUCAGGUACUGAAUUGAGGCUGGAAGAAUUUUGAGGAGCAUGAUAGAGAAAGCCCAAAUUGCCUUAAACAGACUUUCAGUAGAAAUAAGGACUUUAAGGACGCUGCUGGUGAGGGCUCAGAAGGAAGUAAGGAACAGAUUAUUGGAAAGUAGAGGAAGGGGGACUGUAGCGUUGUAGUUAGCAGGAAAUUUGAGAUUUGAGUCCUUGUUCUGAAUUAUUUGAAAGAUGUUAUUCAGACUUACCAUAGUGUGCAAACAACUAUUUAUUCGGAAUGUGGUAGCAUUCCAAUAAGACAUCUUUUGGAGGCAGGAAAAAGGUAUAGAGUAAUUUUUUACACUUGCAGAAGGGAAAACUGCAGCCAUAUUUAAGUUUUAAGUCACAAAAUUUUUGGUAAUUUGUUACAUCAAUAAUAGGAAAUUAAUAAAGAAGACAUGCUGAGCACUACCCCAAAAGUAGAGACAUUCACUGCACUGUCAUUGUUUAUUUUGAAACUGUAAACACAGGGAUAUGUCGUACCAGAGGACUGAAGACAUAACCUGCAUACAAAGUGAGCUUGAAUGGUUGUAAACCAUUUUUAAUUUACUCUCCACAGGAACUCUAUAGCUGAGUUUGUGUGUGUUGGGUGGUAUUGGUAUAACUGGAAGUUCUCUAAAUUUACCUUUAUGGACGAUAGGAUUCUUAUUAAAGAGAAUGUGCUAAUUUGAAGCUGACGUAUACAUAUUAAUAAAACUCAACAGUAACUUCAUCGAUUGUAUAGAGCUUGGACCAAGAAAAUAUUUUUCUGGGGAAAAGUAUUUUAUCAUUAACAUUGUUUAAAAUUGCCAGAGCAUGAUGAAAAUUUAAGCAGACAAAGUUGGUUUUUCUGUUUUUAAAUUUUCUACAGAGAAUACACCUUUUUUAUAGCCUGCACUCAGUGUGGACAAUUCUCAUUACCCAACUUUGCUACAUCAUUAUUGUUUUCACAAAUUUGUCAUUCAGAUAAAUAGUAUCAUAACUGAUUGUUCAAAAAUAAAGGCAUGUAUGUAUGUUAUGUAAACAGUCAUUUUGCCAUGCCUAAAUGUUUCUAUCUCUAGAAUUGUGAAAACAUUACGACUGUCAAUACGUUGUUGGUUUCCUGAAUUACACUGCUGCCACUUGACUAUAUAACUGGCUAGUUUUUGAAAUGUUUUAAAUUUUGGAUUCAGGGAACACAUGUGCAGGUUUGUUACCUGGGUAUAUUGCAUGAUGCUCAAGUUUGGAGUAUAGAUGGUCCCAUCACCCAGAUAGUGAGCAUAGUACCCAAUAGGUAGUUUUUCAGCACAUAACCUCCUCCUUUACUCUCCCCCUCUAGUAGUCCCCAGUGUCUGUUGUUCUCAUCUUUAUGUAUAUUUGUUUUCAAUGUUUAGCUCCUACUUACGAGUGAGACCAUGUUGCUGCAAAGGACAUGAUUUCAUUCUUUUUUAUGGCUGUGUAGUAUUUCAUGGUUCAUGGUGUAUAUGUGCCACAUUUUCCUUAUCCCUGACACCAUUGAUGGGCAUCUGGGUUAAUUUUACAUGUUUGCUAUUGUGAAUAGUGCUGCUAUGAACAUAUGAAUGCAUAUGGCUCUUUGAUAGAAUGAUUUAUUUUUUUGAGACAAGAGUCUUACUCUGUCGCCCAGGCUGGAGUGCAGUGGCAUGAUCUCGGCUUACUGCCAUCUUCGCCUUACAGGUUCAAGUGAUUCUCAUGCCUCAGCCUCCUGAGUAGUUGAGAUUAUAGGCAUGCACCACAAUACCCGACUGAUUUUUGUAUUUUCAGUACAAAUGGGAUUUCACCAUGUUGGCCAGGCUGGUCUCGAAUUCCUGGCCUCAAGUGAUCCACCCACCUUUGCCUCCCAAAGUGCUGGGAUUACAGGUGUGAUGGCCUAGAACAAUUUAUUUUCCUUUGGUACAUACCCACUAAUGGGAUUGCUGUGUUGAAUGGUAAUUCUAAAUUCUUUGAGAAACCUCUAAGCUGCUUUCCACAAUGGCUGAACUAAUUUACGUUCCCCCCAGCAAUGUAUACAUGUUCCCUUUUAUCCACAGCCUUACCAACAUCUGUUAUUUUUUAAAUUUUUAUAGCCAUUCUGACUGUUGUGAGAUGGUAUCUCUGUGAUUUUGAUUUUUAUUUCUCUGAUGAUUAAAGAUGAGCAUUUUUAAAAAUAUAUUUGUUGGCUACUUGUAUGUCUUUUUCUAAGAAGUGUCUGUUCAUGUCUUUUGCCCACGUUUUCAUGAAGUUAUUGGUUUUUCGCCUGUUCAAUUGUUUAAGUUACUUAUAGACUCUGGAUAUUACACCUUUGUCAGAUGCAGUUUGUUAAUAUUUUCUUCCAUCCUGUAGGCUGUCUGUUUACUCUGUUAAUAGUUUCUUCUGGUGUGCAGAAACUCUUUAAUUAGGUCCCAUUUGUUAAUUUUUGUUUUUGUUGCAAUUGCUUUUGAGGACUUAGUCAUAAAUUCUUUGCCAAAGCUGAUAUCUAGAAGGGAAUUUCCUAGAUUUUCUUUUAAGAUUUUUAUAGUAAGAGAUCUUAAAUUUAAAUGUUUUAUCCAGCAUGUUAAUUUUUGUAUGUGGUAAAAGGAAGGGGUUGUUUCAUUCUUCUGCAUAGGGCUAGCCAGCUAUUCCAGCACCAUUUACUAACUAGAAACUUCUUUCCCCAUUUCUUAUUUUUAUCAAAUUUAUUGAAGAUCAGUUGGUUGUAGGUGUGCAGCUUUAUUUCUGGGUUCUCUUACUCUCUUUCAUUGGUCUAUAUGUCUGUUUUUGUACCAUUAUCAUGCUAUUUUGCUUACUGUAGCCUUGUAGUAUAGUUAGAAGUUGUGUAAUGUGAUGCCUACAGCUUUUUUAUUUUUGCUUAGGAUUGCUUUGACUAUUCCAGCUCUUUUUUGGCUUCAUUUGGAAUUUUUUUUUCUAUUUUUGUGAAAAAUGAUGUUGGUAGUUUGAUAGCAUUGAAUCUGUAGAUUGCUUUGUGUAGUAUAGCCAUUUUAACAACAUUGAUUCUUCUAAUCAAUGAGCAUGUAAUGUUUUCUUAUUUGUUUGUGUCAUCU